GCCCUCGUGGAUCAUGGUUGAUCAUCUUCCUUCAAUUAAAGAACUUGAAAGGGGUCUGGAGUUCCAAAGACAGCGUAGGUUCGAAUCCUACCGAGGGCA